UCAUGUAAACAAAAUGGAGGUUAUAUCUAAUUUCUUUAUACAUGUAGUUCUAAACUUAAUCUGUGUAUCUCCUAUAUCGGACAGCAAAAUGUGUGGAUCAGGAAAAUGCUGUGUUGGUUACAGGCUGCACAAUAACCAGUGUACAGAAUGUGAAGCUGGAACGUAUGGUAUAAACUGCAUUCUAACAUGUCCUGAUGGAUAUUAUGGCAGACUUUGUAAAGAAGCGUGUUCUCGAGCUUGUAAUGAAAGCUGCGACAAGGUCGAUGGGAAAUGUUCAGUGGUAGAGGAGACAACACAACGAGUAACUCACAGUGUGUUGACUACGAGAGGUCAGGAAAGGGACGAAUUGAUGAAUACUGUUAAACCUGGACUCCUCUUCUCACAAUAUAUACAAAGCGUGGUUAUCGUUUUAUCAUUGGUUGCCAUCGUGUAAGUAUGCAACAUUUCUCACAUAUUAGCAAUAUAUUUAUAUACUUCGUUAUAAGGGUAAAGAGUAGAACUGUGGCUUUGGGUUAGAGGGUACAAGUUAGUAAGUGGCGAGAACUUUUGUCCUGACCUUAUUUGAUGUCAAUGAAAUAUGUUCAAAACAAGUUUAGAGGGUAUUAAACAUUUAUUAAGCAGAGUUUACCAAUUAGAAGUUGUAAUUUGCAUGUGAAUUAUUUCAAAAUCAUAAGAACCCGGGUCAUUAAUUUUUUAUUUUUUUUUUUUUUUGUGAAUGAAACAAAGCUUUAAUUUUCUUGGAAGGUGACGAUUACGAACAGUGAUCAAUCUUAUAACUCCUAUAAGCAAUAUAAAAUCGAAAGUUGUGUAAAACGGACCCCUGGAUAUACCAGAGUAACCGCACCCGCCAUGAGCCCUAUAUCUUGAUCAGGUAAACAGAGUUAUCCGUAGUCAAAAUUAGUGUGCCAAGAACGACCUAACAAUCGGUAUGAAACACGUCAGACAGCAAGUGUGCAAAUUUAUUUGAUUAUGUGUACCAAAUGGCUUAUGCAGAAUCCCAUGUACUAACGAAGAAUGGCUGUUAUAAAUUUUUAUAAAUCACAACUGUAAACCUAUUUUUCUGUUUC